rnacentral:rRNA from 1 species
CGCCCGUCACGCCAUGGGAGCGUGACUGGGGCGAAGUCGUAACA